CCUACGGGGGGCUGCAGUGGGGAAUUUUGGACAAUGGACGCAAGUCUGAUCCAGCCAUGCCGCGUGCGGGAAGAAGGCCUUCGGGUUGUAAACCGCUUUUGUCAGGGAAGAAACGCUCUGGGUUAAUACCUCGGGGUAAUGACGGUACCUGAAGAAUAAGCACCGGCUAACUACGUGCCAGCAGCCGCGGUAAUACGUAGGGUGCAAGCGUUAAUCGGAAUUACUGGGCGUAAAGCGUGCGCAGGCGGUUAUGCAAGACAGAGGUGAAAUCCCCG
rnacentral:rRNA from 1 species